AUUUAUAUAUAUACUAAUUUUGAACUACAAGUUGAACAGUUCUUGCAUCUGAUUGGCUGUAAUUUUUUUUUUGUUUUCUUCUUUUGUUCUCUUAUUUGGCUUGGUUUCAUCGGCUUCUGAUACACUUACAACGUGUCUUGCACCGCCUUUGUUCUCCAAUGGAAAGCUUACACAAUUGCUUCCACCGUCUCACCAACCAUUCCUGUUUGUUCCAUCUUCCUCCACCCGCUUAUCUUCUUUUCCAAUCGGUAUUCCACCGUUUUCCCUCAAUCAAUUUCCCUCAACUAAUUCCACCGCCACUAGCACCGACGUCGCCCUCUCUGGUACUUUCUACACACCAUUCUCCACCGUCUGCUCUGUUUAUCUGGGUUUCCAGCGACUGUGAGGUUGGUGCACCGGACACCUGAUUUGGUUUUUUAACAUGCCCUUAGCCAACGUCGUCGUCUAUUUGUCCUUCUCCGACGUCGUCGUCUGUUUGUCCUUCUCCGAUUCCCCUGUGUUUCCCAUAUUGAGGGUUAUAAUUUCUUCUUGAUUUUUGUAUUACGGCUUAUGGUCCCCUCCGCAACGUCAACACCUUCGGUCUUACCCGAGACGACUUCAGUUCCACCGGAGACUUCUUCAGUUGUACCAGAGACGCCUAUGAUGGAAGCGUUGGUGUAAGUGCUUGGAUAAUCGGACGUCAUUGGUGGAAUUGUGAUCUGUUGUGCACAAAAAUCGGAAAAUUUGUUAGCCGUGUUGUUGUUGCUGUACAGAUAUGUCGACAUAGAAGAGAGAUCAAGUAGUUUCAACAGGAAGAGGAUUCUGAUACAAAUUUCAUUGAAGCUUAUUUGUUGAAUAAAAAGACAGAAGAAGAGUGAAGCCAAUCCCAUUCCAGUUCCAGCCAAUAAGGGUUUAUUGGUCAAUACAUGAGUUUUGCCAUUAAUGCGUUGUAAGGCUAAUCAUUAACCAUGUAAAUCUUGAAACUUUCAAAGAUUUCAAUGCUAUGACAUUGUUUUAGCCUUUUAGGACAAUUGAACUAUAGAUAAGAUCAUUACAAUCUU